CACGUAGGGUGCGAGCGUUGUCCGGAAUUAUUGGGCGUAAAGAGCUCGUAGGCGGUGUGUCGCGUCGGCCGUGAAAACCUGCAGCUUAACUGUGGGCUUGCGGUCGAUACGGGCAUCACUGGAGUUCGGCAGGGGAGACUGGAUCCUGGUGUAGCGGUGAAAUGCGCAGAUAUCAGGAGGAACACCGGUGGCGAAGGCGGGUCUCUGGGCCGAUACUGACGCUGAGGAGCGAAAGCGUGGGGAGCGAACAGG
rnacentral:rRNA from 1 species